CUAGCGGCGGACGGGUGAGUAACACGUGGGCAACCUGCCUUGUAGAGGGGAAUAGCCUUCCGAAAGGAAGAUUAAUACCGCAUAACAUUACAUUUUCGCAUGAAGAAGUAAUUAAAGGAGCAAUCCGCUACAAGAUGGGCCCGCGGCGCAUUAGCUAGUUGGUGAGGUAACGGCUCACCAAGGCGACGAUGCGUAGCCGACCUGAGAGGGUGAUCGGCCACAUUGGGACUGAGACACGGCCCAGACUCC
rnacentral:rRNA from 1 species